GCCUCCAUGGCACAAUGGUACUGCGCUGGUCUUGAGAACCAGGCCCUAUGGGCAUCCCGGUUCGAUUCCGGGUGGGGGCG
rnacentral:tRNA from 1 species